AUUGAACGGCUGGCGGAAUGCUUUACACAUGCAAGUCGAACGGCAGCAUAGAGAGCUUGCUCUCUGAUGGCGAGUGGCGAACGGGUGAGUAAUAUAUCGGAACGUGCCUAGUAAUGGGGAAUAACUAGCUGAAAGGUUAGCUAAUGCCGCAUACGACCUACGGGUGAAAGCAGGGGAUCUUCGGACCUUGCGUUAUUAGAGCGGCCGAUAUCUGAUUAGCUUGUUGGUGGGGUAAUGGCCUACCAAGGCGACGAUCAGUAGCUGGUCUGAGAGGACGAUCAGCCACACUGGAACUGAGACACGGUCCAGACUCCUACGGGAGGCAGCAGUGGGGAAUUUUGGACAAUGGGGGCAACCCUGAUCCAGCCAUUCCGCGUGAGUGAAGAAGGCCUUCGGGUUGUAAAGCUCUUUCGCAAGAGAAGAAAACUUGCUAUCUAAUAAAUAGUAAGUAUGACGGUAUCUUGACAAGAAGCACCGGCUAACUACGUGCCAGCAGCCGCGGUAAUACGUAGGGUGCAAGCGUUAAUCGGAAUUACUGGGCGUAAAGCGUGCGCAGGCAGUUUUAUAAGUCAGAUGUGAAAUCCCCGAGCUCAACUUGGGAACUGCGUUUGAAACUGUAAGACUAGAGUGUGUCAGAGGGGGGUAGAAUUCCAAGUGUAGCAGUGAAAUGCGUAGAGAUUUGGAGGAAUACCAAUGGCGAAGGCAGCCCCCUGGGAUAACACUGA
rnacentral:rRNA from 1 species